AAAAUCCCCUGGCCUAAAAGCAUAGCCUUUCUGCUAGUGUGCCUGUAGAGUGUGCACACGCCUGGAAGGCCACUUUGGCAUCACAUGUCUGUGCCACAGACUAAGCUUCGGCCUUGACGUAGCCAAGGCUGUACCUUCAGGUAGCUUGGCCUGUCCAUCGGUGCUACCACUGGAGUAGGUUGUGCUGCUGUCUUGUCUUUCCUUGUUUGUUUCCCUUUCUAACCUAUUGUGGUUUGUUUUUGUCUUUCA